rnacentral:tRNA from 1 species
GGGAAUGUGGCUUAGGGGUAGAGUGCUUGCCUGCCAUGCAGGAAGCCCUGGGUUCAAUCCUCAGUACCA